ACCGCUGUUGGAUGUUUGAGUCACAGCUUUGUCCUAGCACAGUGAGGGGGAUGUUUGCAUACGAACCCCUUAUCAAACAUUGAACUGAUGACCUUGCUCAGAUAAAUAUCCCACAGAGUCAAACUGCUCCUCAUUCUCGAAGAAGACAAGACUGCAACUAGUGGCCAAAGCAGCAUGGCUCCAUCACUUCUUGCAACAGCAGGAGGACUUCUGUUACUUUUCUCCUUCUCAUCAGCACAAACCAGAGCGACAACAUUGCAUUAUGCACCCCAAAUGAUGGCUUUGGAAAGUACUGUCCCACUACAUGUGGAGUGGCUGAUUACUUAACGAGGGUACAUGCCAGAAGUGACCAGGGAUUUGGACAGCAUGUUAAGAGACCUGGAGAUAGCUGCCAAUUUGACCCAGGGGACUGAAGAAAAAAUUGUCUAUAUGAAAGAUUCUGCUACUUCAGCCCAAAAGAGUUCC